UGUUUGCAGCACAUCCAUAGGGAUAUAGAGGAAAUAAGGCGUGAUCUGGACUCUGUCAAAGAGGAACUCUGGCGAAAACGAUAUGAGUAAGGGAAAGUGGGAGACGAUAUGACAUGGAGGAGGAGAGAUCCUGUCAAAUCCGAGUCAUAUUGUCUAGUGUUUUAGCUGAAAAUUAAGCUUGCGAAUCUAUGUUCGUUUUAUGUCGUCUUUUUAGUGUCUUUUAAGUUUCUUUUAUGUCGUUGCAGUUUGAGUCAGUGCUUCGUCUUCGGACAAUGUAUGCUAUGUUUCUGGUGAAAUCUGGCUUCUUAAAUAAAGUUUAAGUGCAAUUGUCAGUGGAA